rnacentral:rRNA from 1 species
GCUUGUCUCAAAGAUUAAGCCAUGCAUGUCUAAGUAUAAGCAAUUAUACCGUGAAACUGCGAAUGGCUCAUUAAAUCAGUUAUCGUUUAUUUGAUGGUACCUUUACUACUUGGAUAACCGUGGUAAUUCUAGAGCUAAUACAUGCUAAAAACCCCGACUUCGGGAGGGGUGUAUUUAUUAGAUACAAAACCAAUGCCCUUCGGGGCUCUUUGGUGAUUCAUGAUAACUUCUCAGAUCGCAUGGCCUUGAGCCGGCGACGGUUCAUUCAAAUUUCUGCCCUAUCAACUUUCGAUGGUUCGGUAUUGGCCAACCAUGGUGGCAACGGGUAACAGGUUUUCAGCGAAAGAUUCUGGAGAAGAAGCCCGAGUAACAGCUUCUACAUCCAAGGAAGGCAGCAGG